rnacentral:tRNA from 1 species
AGGCGUAUAGCUCAGUUGGUUAGAGCACACGCUUGAUAAGCGUGGGGUCACAAGUUC